UAACAUGUAAUCAAUAUUUAUUACAUCGAUAUUUGAUACAUUAAAAAUUCAUAACACAAAACCGAAAAACUUUCAAUUUAUCAUUCAAAACAAAACUCCAACAUAAAACUUAAGUUUGCUUUGGAUUAAAAUAAAAUAAAAAAUUAAUAUUAAUCCGUGGAUUCCCAUGCACAAAUUGUUUGAUUAGUGCAUACCCGUUGGCCUCGAGCACGGCCAAAUCCUGUUCUUGCUAAUGAUCUGAACGCCCCGUAUUUUCU
rnacentral:lncRNA from 1 species